rnacentral:rRNA from 1 species
GAUGAACGCUGGCGGCGUGCCUAAUACAUGCAAGUCGAGCGAAAAGACGAGGCUUUUGCUCCUCUGACGUUUGCCGCGCACGUGUGUGUAACACGUGGAUAACCCCCUUAUAAUUCUGGUAUCACUUCGGGACUCCGGAGCUAACACCGGAUAAUAUCUUGAACCGUAUGGUUCAAUAGUGAAAGACGGCUUUGCUGUCACUUAUAGAUGGAUCCGCGCGGCAUUAGCUAGUUGGUAAGGUAACGGCUUACCAAGGCUACGAUGCGUAGCCGAGGUGAGAGAGUGAUAGGCCACACGGGAACGGGGACACGGUCAAGAGUACUAAGGGAGGCAGCAGUAGGGAAUCUGAGGCAAUGGGCGAAAGCCUGACGGAGUAAGGCCGCGUGAGUGAUGAAGGCCUGGGGAGCGUAAAACUCGGUUAUUAGGGAAGAACAGAUGUGUAAGGAAAUGUGCAGGGCGUGACGGUAACGGAUCAGAAAGCAACGGCUAACUACGUG